CUUUUUACUCACAAGCGGCUACCCAGGACAGGCCAGGCAGGCAGGAGGACUGAAAACGAACAAGCUGCAAGUUCUCUUCUCCGUUCCGUCUGCUUUCCGCCUUUCACUCUUUCAGCUCCAGUUGCCGGACCGUCGAUUUCUUGCAUGAAAUUUAUUGGCAGCCAGUGCCAACGACCAGCAACAAUGCAUCGCUGAUUUCCAUAGCCUGAGGGGUUAUGGUUACCAUAAAAUCAUGCUAAUUUCAGUGACUGAGCAAUGACGACAUAUUAUGGCCAUCGAAUUGGGGGAUUUUAGUGGUCCCUCCAGCACUGGCUUAGUUUCAUCUGUGCGCAGACCAGGCUUUGGAGAUUACAUGACUUUUGGUAACUCCAAUCAACAGAUAUGGGAAAUGACACCACCGCAGCUGGUGUCAAAUGUGUCCUUCAAUACUCGUAGAUCGUAUUCACUUCCGCUAUUACUAAUAAUCGUAUCUAAUCUGAGACAUUAAUCUGAGACGUACCAUAUCAUAAGCACAUCGAAUGGGUAUAGUAACCAUGUAUUAUCCAACAAUUUCUGCUUAUAAAUAGCCUAGAUAAUAGACUACCUCGAACCAGACUCAAAACUCAGACAACCAGAAAUGAAGGUCGCAACUUCAGCAAUGCUACUCCUUAUGCUCGUGGAAGCGGCUGUGGGCGUGCCGGCCUGGGGCCGUAUGACUUCGCGAAAGCCAACGCCAAAGCAAAGCCAAGCACAAUUUCAGAAAUGGUGUAGACUUAACUUUGGUCCGGCCUGGGGUGGCAGGGGAUGCUAGACAAAAAGAAUUCAUCUAGGAUGCAGCUUAGUCGUACUUAACCAUCGCAAAUCUCGACUGAGUAAAUAAGAAAAUAUAUUUUCUGGUCAGAUUUGGACAGACUGCACCGAUUGUUAAUUUUUUAAAACCUUUUCUGUCUCUAUUGUCUGUUAUUUGUAUCUCUCUGUAGAUAGUGUCUUAUUUCCACAAAUUCCAAUCUUUCUAUACUUUAUCUAUUGCACUCUCAGCAACAAUGGACAAAAAUUCGUAUCUUUAUUUCAGUUUGUGUAUUUUGUCCUUUAUUUUUUGUUUAUCUCUGAAAUACUUUGAACUCUUUUAAUUGCCUAAUCACUUCCCCAGCUAGCUAUAUUAUGAUAUAAUCUCAAUAUAAAUUAAACCAUACCCAAGGCAUAUCGAAUGGUUUGUACAGUUCCAUA